GACGAACGCUGGCGGCGUGCUUAACACAUGCAAGUCGAGCGGAGCGGCGAACGGGUGAGUAACGCGUGAGUAACUGCCCCCCUCUCUGGGAUAACAGUUGGACACGGCUGCUAAUACCGGUUAGUGGGGGAUGACUCGCGUCCUCUCAGCUUGUUGGUGGGGUAGUGGCCUACCAAGGGGACGACGGGUAGCCGGCCUGCGGGGGCGAGCGGCCACAGUGGGCCGAGCUACGACGCGAGGUCCUACGGGGGGAAGCAGUGGGGUAUGUUGCACCAUGGUGGAACCCCGGAUGCAGGAGCGCCGCGUGCGGGAUGACGGCCAUCGGGUUGUAAACCGCUUUCAGCCAUUACGCGGUAGUGGCAGAAGAAGCACCGGCUAACUACGUGCCAGCAGCCGCGGUAAUUC
rnacentral:rRNA from 1 species